GCGACCCUCCCCCUCCCUCCCCUCCCCCAUCCAGGGUCCUUCCCUCGGCAAGGCGGGGGGGGGCUUGGGGGACGCAGGCAGGCGGGGCUGAAGGGGCUCCGCUUCCUCCUGGGGGGCUCCGGCCAGGCUCCUCCCUGCAGCUCCUGACCCCCCCAAAGCCCCCUUUGCCCAUCUGCAGGGGGGGAAUCCCCUCCAGGACCCCCCCGAAUAUGUGGCCCCCUGAGGCCUCUGCUGACCCCCUGAGGCCGAAGCCUCCCGGAAGGAGAAGCUUUCCCUACGUCGCCCCUCGGGAGGUUGGGGCCCUGGCAGCCCCCCCAGCUCUGCCCCCCUCCCCUGAAGAGCUGGAGGACCCCCACCGCCUUGGGUUGGGGGGCUUUUCCUCCUGAAAUCCUGGGCCCCAAAGGCUGGAGGGGUUCCUGGUCCUGCGGCUCUCUUGCAUUGCAGCUUCUCCUCGGCUGGGAGGGGAUCCUGAGCCAGCAACUCCAUAAGUUUUUCAACUUUUAUGUCCACCCCCCCAUCUCACCAAAAGAGCAACUUUUAAGAUUUGACAUCAUUUGCCUGUUUUUGUUUUUGCAGUAAAUACCUGAGGUGAUCUGAUGCUGGAACCCAGUGAGGUCCUCAAGGUGUUUUCAGACCCACUCAGAGUCUCUGGGAGUUGGGCUUUUCUCCAAAUGUAAUAAAAUAAAUGGGCAGAUAUCCCAGAGAACCUCUUUGAAACUUCCCUGAGAGGAUCCUGGUUUCUAUUUCACGUAUGCAAGACACGGUCUGCGAAAACUAUUUCCAAGGUGGCUUAUCAUCAUGGAGUGGUGAUAGUGAAAUGCUUAGGGUGCAAGAACCAUCAUGUGAUUGCCGAUAACUUGGGCUGGUUCUCUGAUUUAGAUGGAAAGAGGUAAGCAUUUGGUUCUUGAGGAUUUGUUGCUUCAGCUGCCGAAGUGGAAUUAGUUCCUGGGAACAAUUCAGAACUAACACAAUGGACGCACCAGAAUUCGUAAUCCACAAAUCUUCAUUUAUUGUUUUGGCUUGCAGAAUGAACACCAAGGAAAAUUCCUUCUGUGACCAAAAUCCCACAGAAACUAGGAGGCGGAACAUUGAGGAAAUCCUUGCAGCCAAAGGAGAGAAAGUGAGGCGAGUGGCAGGCGAAGACGCUCUCGAGCUCUUAGUUGAAGACCCCCAAUUGCUGGAACGGCUGAGCAAAGGAGGAGGAGAAGAAGAUCCAGAGUGAU